rnacentral:tRNA from 1 species
GGGGGUAUAGCUCAGCUGGUAGAGCACCUGUUUUGCAAGCAGGGGGUCAGCGGUUCGAAUCCGCUUAUCUCCACCA